UAGCUUCAGCGAUGGAUCGGUCGAUUCGCGUAUCGAUGAAAAACGUAGCUAGCUGCGUUAUUUACCACGAAUUGCAGACGCUUAGAGUGGUGAAAUUUUGAACGCAUAGCGCCGUUGGGUUUUCCCUUCGGCACGUCUGGUUCAGGGUUGUUAAAAAAUCUACUACAGUGUAGCUUGUAACACUGUUUGUCGAAUGGCACUUACUUUUUCAGUAAUUCCCAUUCAAGAGCAGAAAUGCAAUCGCAACAUGUACUUUAGUAGGCUAGUUGACUAACGUUACAUGAAAUAACAUAAAUUCUCAUUGUUGCUGUUAAUUCGUUUGUCGACUUAACUAAACGUUUUAACGGUGACAAGUAGAACAAUGAUAUUUAUGUUAUUUGCAAUGCAACCUGAGCUCAGGCGUGACUACCCGCUGAACUUAAGCAUAUCAUUUAGCGGAGGAAAAG
rnacentral:rRNA from 1 species